rnacentral:rRNA from 1 species
AGUACAGUGGCGUACGGGUGAGUAACACGUGGAUCAUCUACCCUGGAGUGGGGAAUAACGCUGGGAAACCGGCGCUAAUACCGCAUAAUCCCGAGAGGGCAAAGGAAGCAAUUCCGCUUGAGGAGGAGUCCGCGGCCGAUUAGCUUGUUGGCAGGGUAAAAGCCUACCAAGGCAUCGAUCGGUAGCCGGCCUGAGAGGGCACACGGCCACACUGGCACUGAAACACGGGCCAG